CGUGAUCUGAGCGGGUCCUUGUGAGAAGGGUCUGGGAGGAACUGGAGUGGGAAGAGGUAGAGGCUGGAGGUUUCCAGAUGCAGGCAGAGGCCACAAGCCAGGGACCGUCGGUGCCUGCCAGAAGCUGGGGAGGCAAGGAAGCAUCUAGAAGGAAGGCAUCCCUGUCCACGCCCUGAGUUUAGUCCUUCUGUGACCCUGUAUUUGGACUUUCUGAGCUCCAGAACUGCAGGAAACAAGCUGAGCUGUUUUCAGCACUUUAGCUGGCGGUCAUCGGCCUCGGCAGCCCUGGGAGACCCGUACAAACAGGACUGUCUCCUCUGCACUCAGGGGCGUGGGCUAUCUGGGAUGUCAGCCGGAGCCCGCACAGCCUGUAGCUGGGGUGGCUCGCUCCGCAAACUCCUGAGAGACACAUCGAGGCAUCACAGGCCUGAAACUGGCCUAUCCAAAUGCAGAGAAGCCUGAACAAUUAACUUGGCUGAGAAGAGAUCCUUUCUGCCUCUCCCGGAUGGCCGAGGGUCAAGAAAACCAAGACUUCACUUCAAGCCAAGCUGAUGAGAACUGAGCGGGCAGGCUGGUGGGUUAGCAGGGAAAUCUUGGGGUGGAGGCUGACAGGACUUCCAGCCCAGCCCCGGGCCUGUCUCAAGCAGCUCCUCAGAGAGGCAGCUGGGGGCCUUUUCCCCCUGGUGUCUGGGGUGGCCAAGGUGACGCCCUGGGAGCCUUCCCGGUGCCUCUGGCGUCUCCCACCCGCCGAUCGGCCGCCUCCCUGCAAACAGCAGCCUGAAUUCCUAGCUGAGACCUUUUGCUCCGAUGGGAAGUGACCUAUCCUCCGCCCCGAGGGGAAGUUCUAGAAGCCCUGACUAGCACAUACACGGCUAUCCCAAGGGUGCCCUUGGGAGCCGUGCCUGUGAGCGAGUGAGGGACUCGGGGCAGGAUGCGACGAGCGGAGGUUGGACUCCACGCGGCACGAUAACCUUGUCCGAUCCGUCCCGCCUGGAGAGCCCAGAGCUGGGACAGCCCUUCCGGGGUGGCAUGAGGUGAGAACAGGGGGCUAGGUCCUUGUCUCCCCACACCGGCCAGUUACAGGGCCCGGGCUGGCCUGGCGGUGAGGCAGCCCCCUU